CUUAAUUCGCCAUACCCACUUCCAAUUUUCCCUUUUUCUCUGAGAAUCUUUUGUGAAAGUUUCAAUUUUAUAAUGCUUUUCAUCUCACCCUUAUUGCAGAAUUAGGGUCUUUUAAGACUGUAUUAAGUGUCCCAUAUUCGGAAACCUGAAAUUUUCAAUUGGGGUGGUUUUUUAUGGGUCCAAAUCGAUAAGGAGUUUUGCCCAGAAAUGUGUUUUAGCAGAAGAGAGUGGUAGUUACUUCAAAUUUGUAACUUUUGGUUUGCGCUUUGUUUGUUUUGUUUUGCAUCUUUUGGUUGGCGAUUGUGAAGUGUCAAAUUUGUCAUUGUUUCCUGCAAUUUAGAUUUGGACCAAGAAUAAGUUGAAGCCUGUUAACCUUAUUGUUGUUAAUCGUGUUGGUAUGCCUUGUUGGUCAAUUACCCUGUUGCUAAAACUUUUGAGUUAAAUUUGUAGUUUAAAUCCAUGUGUUGAAUCCUUGGCUUUUAAGAGGUCUGGUUUGAAUCUCACCACUUAUUUAUUCCCUUUGUAUUGAAUCGAUGUGGGAGAGAAACAGGGAAUCCAUGGAGGCUAGUGUUAAGGCAAUUAUCACAACUAUUAAGCUACUUCAUUUAAUAUACAUUGUUGAUCCAUUAUCUAAUAGCAUAAGCUCUAGGAUUAAGUGGUUAUUAACAUUUACUAAGGUUGGAAUUCCUAUCUUAUCUUGGUAAGGUAGAUGACUUCUUCUCUCAAUUUAUGGGGCUAGGGGAAGCACCCAACAACUAAGGUAAAUGGUUUCUCAACUCCCAAAAUUGCUAAGUUAAUUUAUUAAUGCAAGAAACGCUUCCCCUUCUACCAACAGGUUAAGAGGGUAUUUCCUUCACUUACUCUGCUUCUUGUUUCCAUGUUUGGGCUAUAAGCAAGAAGAAAGCUUAAGCUUAAGGUUCAUGUUGUAUAUAUAUGCUUUACAUAGUUUGAUUGUACACCAAGUGUUUGUUUGCUUCGGUUUGUAGUCUAUGAUAUAGGUUUCAUACUUAGUCGCCUACCAUUUAUUUAUUUUUAUUGCAAUUGUCAUAAUUACCAUAUAUUCUUUUUGUUUUCUGCUUUGUAAAUUGAUUUUUGAGAUUGACAUGUCAUUUUAAAAUGUACUUUUAUAAUAUGCUGUGUUUAUUACAUAUUCAGACUGUGGUCAAUGGUGCGUUCCUUUUUUCUGCAAUGUGCUCUCUUUAAAGUUAGUGAAUUUGUUGCAGUCUGAACAUAAUUUAACCCAUAGGACAUGUAUUGCAGAAAACACCUACAUUCCACAGUUUAUUGAAACAAUAGCAACACAUUACCUGUGCGGAGCACUUCAAGAGGUCACUGUAGCUACAAUUUUGAGCUGAUAACAUCAAACGUGCAGCCCUUAAAUGCAGCUUCUUUGUUGCCUGGUAGUUGCCAUUUCGCUAAUUUGAAGCUACCCAUUGAUCAUUUUGACUAGGAUUAUUGUUGAGAAAUAAAGGUUGUUGGAUAUUGGCUCAAAACAAUGAUCAAUUAGUCAACCGAUGAUGAAGUCAAUUGCAAUGUUGAUGUAUAUAACUUGACAUGUAAAAGAGAAAAUAAAAAAUAAAAAAAUUGUACAAUUACAGUUCAAUGGCAAGAAAUGAUAUGGUCCUUCAAUGGAUGUGGGGGACUUUUCAGAUCA